rnacentral:rRNA from 1 species
UACGUAGGUGGCAAGCGUUGUCCGGAUUUACUGGGCGUAAAGAGCGCGCAGGCGGUCGUUCAAGUCGCGUGUGAAAGCCCCCGGCUCAACUGGGGAGGGUCACGCGAUACUGAUCGACUCGAAGGCAGGAGAGGGUAGUGGAAUUCCCGGUGUAGUGGUGAAAUGCGUAGAUAUCGGGAGGAACACCAGUGGCGAAGGCGACUACCUGGGCUGUUCUUGACGCUGAGGCGCGAAAGCCAGGGGAGCAAACGGG